AGAUUUCGGGAUCCGUGCAGAAAUUUCGUCAGACACCAAACCAUUUGGGCUGACCAGACUUUCAAGACUUUCAAGUCA
rnacentral:pre_miRNA from 1 species